AAGAAAACCCCCUGCUGAAAACAACCGAGCAGCUGCCUCAGACUACGAUCCCCUUUUCUACGCUGCCGCCUCCCUCUCCUGCUGCGCCGCCGAUCCAAUCUCCCGUGGCAACUGCUGCGUAGUGCGUAGAGCUCCGUGCGUGUGCAACCGCCGGUCAAACCAGGACGUGGGGAUUGCCGAUCGUGCUGGGUUUGAACCUCGCCGAGUAUAAGAUCCCCCGAACCCUCAAAGAUGCUCACUUCCUCUCCUCUCGCCUCCCGUCGCCUCUGUCGAAUCCGGCGACUGGAGCAGCUGCCGCCGCCUCUCAGACCGCAGAACCGUUGCCGACGUCGCCGGCACCGGACACGCCCUCUUCCGCCGAGCAAGUGUGGAGGUGGUGGUCCUGGAGGGGGCCAUCGUAGCAUCGCGCAGGAGCUUGCGAGGUGCACUACAGAGUCCAGCGUCGGCAACCUCUGCUCGGAUCCGUUUCAUUGAGGUGGGGGUCAGUAGGUUGACAAACUGAAGGUCUUAGCAUCUUCCCUAGCUAAUUCAUCCUCCAAGGCAGAGAAGCGUAUUGUGGAUCACAGAUGGCACCCGUUAAACUCCCAAGUAAGUGGACGUAUGCGGACACCACAGAAACCCUGGCGACGUACGGCAAACCUGCCAUCUUCCUAACUAUGACUUGCAACCCAAACUGGCCCGAGAUACAGGACGCGCUACUUCCAGGCCAAAAUUUGCAGGACCAAUCAGACCUCGUGGCCCGAGUGUUCAGGUCCAAACUGGAGACGAUGAAAGACAUGCUGACCAAGAAGCAUAUCCCAGGCGUCCUGAAGGUGGUAGAGUUUCUGAAGAGGGGCCUCCCCCAUGCUCAUUUCAUGUUGAUGUAGCUAGGCCACAUUUGAGUUGCUUUCUUGAUUAUCAUUAGUCUUUGAAAAUGGUUUUAGGCUUGCCAAAAGAUUUGAGACACACAUAUAUGUAUUUGAAUUACUACUGUGCUAUCUUUUAAAUAUAUAUGAGUAUUUGUGUGUGUGCA